rnacentral:lncRNA from 1 species
UGUGACCAGCGACCCGCUUGGAAUGCCUCUGACCGACAUCCAUUAUGUGACUCUGAUGCUACCAACCCCUAUUGUUAACUCCUCUCCUAAUUUUUGUGGUUUUGAUUUCUGCCAGUCUCGAAAUAUUUUGUCCUUCUCUUAAUCACUCAAGAUUUUAAGGCAUACUUUAAAUUGAUGGUAAUGCGAAUUUAUCAUCAAGCACCUUAACUUUAAAUCGAAGAU